rnacentral:tRNA from 1 species
GGGAGGGUGCCCGAGCGGCCAAAGGGAGCGGUCUGUAAAACCGCCGGCUCAGCCUACGGAGGUUCGAAUCCUCCCCCUCCCACCA